UGCUGCAGUUAAAAAGCUCAUAGUUGGAUCUUGGGAGCAGGCGGGCGGUCCUACGGGAGGCAAGCCGCCACCGGUUCCCACCCCUUGCCUCUAGGCGCCCCCUCAGUGCUCUUAGCUGAGUGUCCCGCGGGGCCUGAAGCGUUUACUUUGAAAAAAUUAAGAGUGUUCAAAGCAGGCCCGAGCUGCCUGGAUACCGCAGCUAGGAAUAAUGGGAUAGGACCCCGGUUCUAUUUUGUUGGUUUUCGGAACUGAGGCCAUGAUUAAGAGGGACGGCCGGGGGCAUUCGUACUGCGCCGCUAGAGGUGAAAUUCUUGGACCGGCGCAAGACGGACCAGAGCGAAAGCAUUUGCCAAGAAUGUUUUCAUUAAUCAAGAACUAAAGUCGGAGGUUCGAAGACGAUCAGAUACCGUCGUAGUUCCGACCAUUAAAAAAAAAAUAAGUAAGAAAAGAAAGUAAAAGAAAUUUUAAAAAGAACAGAAAACACACAAACAAAAAACCUCCUAACUUUGUAGUGCAUUAAUUUCUU
rnacentral:ncRNA from 1 species